GACGAACGCUGGCGGCGUGCCUAAUACAUGCAAGUAGAACGCUGAAGGAGGAGCUUGCUUCUCUGGAUGAGUUGCGAACGGGUGAGUAACGCGUAGGUAACCUGCCUGGUAGCGGGGGAUAACUAUUGGAAACGAUAGCUAAUACCGCAUAAUAGUAGAUGUUGCAUGACAUUUGCUUAAAAGGUGCAAUUGCAUCACUACCAGAUGGACCUGCGUUGUAUUAGCUAGUUGGUGGGGUAACGGCUCACCAAGGCGACGAUACAUAGCCGUCCUGAGAGGGUGCUCGGCCACACUGGGACUGAGACACGGCCCAGACUCCUACGGGAGGCAGCAGUAGGGGAUCUUCGGCCAUGGACGGAAGUCUGACCGAGCCACGCCGCGUGAGUGAAGAAGGUUUUCGGAUCGUAAAGCUCUGUUGUAAGAGAAGAACGAGUGUGAGAGUGGAAAGUUCACACUGUGACGGUAUCUUACCAGAAAGGGACGGCUAACUACGUG
rnacentral:rRNA from 1 species